rnacentral:rRNA from 1 species
UACAGAGGGUGCGAGCGUUAAUCGGAAUUACUGGGCGUAAAGCGUGCGUAGACGGCUAUCUAAGUCGGGUGUGAAAGCCCCGGGCUCAACCUGGGAAUUGCAUUCGAGACUGAAUAGCUAGGGUACGGUAGAGGGAAGUGGAAUUUCCGGUGUAGCGGUGAAAUGCGUAGAUAUCGGAAGGAACAUCAGUGGCGAAGGCGGCUCACUGGACCGGAACUGACGCUGAGGCGCGAAAGCGUGGGGAGCAAACAGG